AUCGCUUCUCGCCUUUUGGCUUUGAUCGAUGUGUAAUUACCGUUCUCAUCAGCUUAAUAUCUGAUGCGCUUCCAUCGGAAGCUUCGAUAUUAUUCUGAUUUUUGAAACGAGGUGUAUUGGGUGUAGCUUGCUCCACCCUCGCCGCGGGUUGACCUGGUAUUGCACUGUUUCUAGGAGCAGCCCAUUCCCU